UACGGAGGGUGCAAGCGUUGUCCGGAAUCAUUGGGCGUAAAGAGUUCGUAGGUGGCGUAUUAAGUCUGGUGUUAAAGCCCGAAGCUCAACUUCGGUUCGGCACUGGAUACUGGUAGGCUUGAAUGCGGUAGAGGUAAAGGGAAUUCCUGGUGUAGCGGUGAAAUGCGUAGAUAUCAGGAGGAGCAUCGGUGGCGUAAGCGCUUUACUGGGCCGUAAUUGACACUGAGGAACGAAAGCCGGGGUAGCAAAUGGG
rnacentral:rRNA from 1 species